rnacentral:tRNA from 1 species
GUCAGGAUGGCCGAGCAGUCAAAGGCGCUGUGUUAAGGUCGUAGUCUCCUCUGGAGGUGUGGGUUCAAAUCCCACUUCUGACA